CUGUAGAAGAAGGGGCCUCAUUGGAGGAAGGAGGUCACAGGGACCUUCUCUGGCAGGGUGUAUUUGGUCCUGUUCCCUUCUAUCUCUCUUUCUCUGCUUCUGGGCUGCCAUGAUCUGACCACCCUUCCUCAUCAUGCCUUUCCACCAUGAGAGCCCACCUCACCUCAGGACCAAAGCAACAGAGCCAGCUGAUUGUGAACUGAAAUCUUUGGAACCGUGAGCCAAAAUAAAUCUUUCCUCCUCUAUGUUAUUUUUCUCAGGUAUUUGCCAACAGCAACGAAAAGCUGACACAUCAUCCAUUCUUUUCCUCAUUCAUCCACUCAGUUAACCUCCACCGAAGGCUACUUAAGGCCAGAACCUAUAGAAACCUCUGACAAAAAGACAACGAUGGAUAUUGUUCUCGUGGAGAUUGGAGGCACUUAUAGAAAUGAUAAUCUACCAAAGGGCCAAAAGGAAUAAGCAAGGAAAACAAGGGCAAGAAAAUAAUAUGCCCAGGAAUAAGGCUGGUAUGCAGAACGCACCACCCGGCAUCUUCUCCUCACAGCUGCUCAGGGAAGCCCCAGACCUGGCUCUGGGACAGAUCCUGGCACCCAAAGCAAAGUCACCAAACAUGAGCCCCAGGGUGCUCAAUGGUAGCAGACAACACAGCCACUACUCCUGCUCCUGUGUAACUCCCAGCUGUCACACGUUCUGGGGAAUAUUUGGCCAGCUGGAGAGAUUUUCAAUUGGCACAACUGAUGGGGAUAGACAUGAUUGGCCUCUGGCGAACAAGGACAGGGAUGCUGCUUGACACCCACCAUGCACAUGACUGUCCCCAGGAUAAAUAAAGAAUGACGCAAGCUGAGCAUGCUAAGGUCCAUCGUUGUUCAUCCAUCCAUUUAUCAUCCAUCAUCCAUCCAUUGUCCAUCCAUUAUGCAUCCAUCUAUGCAUCCAUCAUCAACCCAUCCAUCCAUCAUCCAUCCAUCAUUCAUCAAUAUAUCCAUUCAUCUUCCAUCCAUCCAUCCAUCCAUUAUCCAUUCAUCAUCCGUCCAUCUGUCCAUCAUCCAUCCAUUAUCCAUCCACUAUGCAUUCAUCUAUCCAUUCACCAUCCAUUCAUCAUCCAUCCAUCCAUCAUUAUUCAUCCAUCCAUCCAAGCACUCUAACAACUGUCCAUUAAAUUCUGGCUCUUUGGUGAUCACUGACAGGGGCCAGGAUAAGAGGACAUGUGGACAUCUUCCAAAGUAGAUAGAUGAGACAGUGAGAGGUUAUUGGUUAUGAUGUUAUUGAAUUACCCUUUGGGAGGGACUCUGGAGGCCCUCUAUUCACCCCUAGCCUAGGCUAAUGGCCUGGACUGUCCUUUCCAGGAGCUGACUCUCCUUCACCUUUGGAAACAAAUUGAAUAUUCCCCUGGUCCUGGGUUCCAUCAAGUCUGACAUUUAUGUAUUAAGUAAUGCAGAGCUAGGCUGGGAAUGUGGCUUAGUGAGAUACAGCAUUUGCCUAGCAUGCACGAGGCUUUGGGUUCGAUUCUUAGCAACACACACACACACACACACACCCCACUCACAAUGAAAGCCCAGCCCUCUGACCAUGCUAUCUAUUCUAAUCCCCCUCCUCCCAUGAAAUACAUGAAUUAUCUCAUUUUACAGAAGAGGAAAUAGGUUCAGAGAGGGGAAGUAACUUUCUCAAGGUCAUGGCUGCUGCAGGUCAUGGCUGGCCGCAGGCUAUUCAGUCCUUUAGCCAAGGCUGGUGAAGAGACAAGUCUCUGAGUUAGUCCCUCAGAGCCUCUGUCAUCAGUUAAUGAUGACAUUAAAUCAUUCCUUCUAAGGAGGGUGGUGUCCGGGGUUUUAUAACCUCCCUGUGUGAUGAAAGAGUCAAGGACUUCAGUAUUGUCCCUACUCCAGAGAGAUCAAUGGAGGCAUAGAUGUGCUGAGCGAUUUGACCUCCAUCAUACAACUAGAAUGGCUUUUUAUUGCAUUCCAAGGGUCAAGCUCUACGUAUGGGGUAGGGGGGACAACUAGAUGUAUAAAAUGCACCUAAUUUUUUUAAACUUUAAAACAUGCCCCCCAAAGGAAAAACAUUCUCUUGAAUUUCCCUCCACAGAAAUAAAAUUGUCACU
rnacentral:lncRNA from 1 species